rnacentral:lncRNA from 1 species
GAGCGGCGCGGGGGCGCCCCCCUCGGCCGGGCGCUCGGGUUUCAGCCGCCGCUCCCCCGCGCCCCGCCCGCGCCUGGCCCGCUCGCCGGCGCCGGGAGAGACCUCGUAACGGAACUGGGACGCCAGCGCUGCAUUGUGGGAGCUUUUAAAGCGGCGGGGAGCUCGGCGCGACCCUCGGGCCCACCGGGCCACGCUCGCCCGGCCCGCGACGCCCCCCCGCUGUCGCCUGGCCCGCGACGCACCGAGGCCUGAGGACCCGAAAGCCGGGCGCGGGGAGAUGACCGGUGGCUCGUGACGGUCCCACGGGCAAAAUCUUCCAUCGCCCGGGGCUGAGACUUGUCAAACUGCCCUCUACGGUCACCCGGAAAGUAGGAGGCUUUUUCUGCAGAGGGAAAAAAAUCAAAAAGAGCCGUUCCAUCCCCCCUCCAAGGACUGGGUUUGAAUUGCUUUUCAUCUGCAGUGGCUGUGAUUCAGCGUCCCUCUUAGCAGCAGGCACUGACAGAGGCAGGAGAGGAAAAAAGAAAGAAAGAAAGAGAAAACACAGCAAAUGAAUCAAACGGACGUAGCAGGCAAGAGUGUGGUUAUCGUUGGACCAGGAUUCAGGAUCUGACCGAGUAGCUGACUCUUAAUCCAGUUUGUGUUGAUCACCAGGAGGAUCUGGACCUCAGUGUUAUCACAUCUAAAGCUAUAAUCACAUCCCUGUUAAGCCUUCCUGAGAUCACACCAAAUGUCCUUGAUGGGAAUUGUAAACAACCCUUACUUCUGGUUUCUAAUGAUAUUCCAGGAAAGGAGCCUAACUAGAGUCAGUGAUAUGCCAACUCCACCUUUGCCUUCCACCAUGUUUGGAAGCUCCCUGAGGCCUCACCAGGAGCAGAUGCUCGUCCCAUGCUUCCUAUAAGCCUGCAGAACUGUGAGCCAUAAUAAACUGUGAAUUAUAAAUUGCCUUUAUAGCAAUGCAAAUGGACCAGUACAGAUGGGAUGCUGGGAAGACAGUUGUUCCACCUUCAGUAAAGUCCAUGGAACACAGUUGUGACUAUAUUCUAGGCCAGCCAAGAUGCUUGUACUCAGAAAGGAGUGAUCUCAGGACCAUAAGAAAGUGAAAAAAUAAAAAUAAGAAAACAAAGAAGGGAUUGUCAAUGAAUCAGAAUUCAUCAAGGUCAAAGUCUUAGGAAAUUCCUUCAUGAGGAAGUCUAGGGGGGCUAUGGAAAUGAAAAUUUUUAAACAAAUAGGUAUGUGGUGCUGGCAGGAAUAAAUUAUGGACUUAUGAAUAUAACAUAAGAUUCUUUAUUACCUGGUCUCACCCGUCUUUCCACCUCUGCCCCCCUUCUUGCCCGACUCUGUGUAUCACCCAUAAUAAACUACUUACAGCUUCCUAGUGUUAAAUUUACCCUAAAGCUGCCUCCUUCAAUAUUUUAAGUUUAACCUAAAGGUUCUUCAUACAUAGUGAACUAUAACCCAAUGAUUAAACAGAUUGUAACCUACUCUUGUACCAGUCACCAAGUUUCAGCCAAUCAGAGGUGGCCAACUGUUCAAACCAUGCUCAAAUAAGGGAAAUGUCAUGGUGUAACUAAUCCAGCUGUUUCUAUAUCUUACUUCUGUUUUCUUAGGUCACUUUCCUUUUUCUGUCCAUAAAUUCUCUCCAACCACUCAGCAGCACUGGAGUCACUCCAAAGCUAUCCUGGUUCAGGGGUCUGUCUGAUUCACAAGUCAUUCUUUGUUCAAUUGAGCUCUGCUAAAUUUAAUUUGUCUGAAGUUUUUCUUUUAACAGAUGGUGUCAGAAAUGGACCCCAAAGUAGAGCUCCCAGUGAUCCCCCAGGAGCACUGAGUGACCACAAGGGGUACCUGCUGGGCCCGUCCUCUCGCAGUGUCCACUGCUCUCUUACAGCAACUGGAGAUUGUGGCUACAUUCUCUCUCAGAUUCUGAAGCUCCAUACAUUGCCGUUUUCAGCUGUUCAAGCUUGCUUGAGCAAAUUUUUGAUCUUAGCUGAGUUUGGAAGUCGAUAGACAUUGGACUGGGUCCAGGAUUUGAUUGGAUCUGAUAAUUAACUGGCUUGGAUGCAGUUAGAUGCCUCGGGUAUCUGACUGGGUCAGAUAGAAACCGCCAGUAAAUAUUUUGAUAACAAUACUGCAGGGGUAUGAACUCUGGCUUUAAGAAACUCACAAGGAAUUUUAUGUUCUAUACCCUUUGUUUCUUUUUCUUGUGUGCUUCGGUCAGGAAAAAUCAUUAGUCAAGUUAAUCAAGGGGAUCUGAGAGCCAAAUACAAGAUUCAACGUAAAAAUGGAAUCCUUGGGCUGGGUGUGGUGGCUCAGGCCUGUAAUCCCAGGACUUUGGGAGGCUGAGGCAGGCGGAUCACCUGACCUUAGGAGUUCGAGACCAGUCUGGCCAACAUGGUGAAACCCCGUCUCCACUAAAAAUGCAAAAAUUAGCCAGUCGUGGUGGUGGGCACCUGUAAUCCCAGCUACUUUGGAGGCUGAGGCAGGAUAAUCACUUGAACCCAGGAGGCAGAGGUUGCAGUGAUCUCAGAUUGCGCCACUGCACUCCAGCCUGGGCGAAAGAGCGAGACUCCAUCUCAUAAAUAAAUACAUAAAUAAAUAAAGAAAUCCUUAAUUUCUGCGGAACUGAGUGCUCUACCUUCUGGCUACACCUACAUAUACCUGUAUGAGGUAUAGGCCCUGGAAGCAGCAAACACUUACAGAAAUGGUGAAAUCUUACUAAAGGUAAUCUAAAGUUAUGGUGGAACAUCUCAAAUGAACAACACUGCACUUUAGGAAGUACAUAUAAAAAUGAAGUCUCCCAAUUUAGUAUUAUUCAGGGAUGGCUGUUGAAGUUCAGAAGCUUCUAAAAAGAUUCCAAUAAUUUUAUAGAUUCUUUUAAAAGAUUCUUUGUAAAAGGCAAAUAAAAAGCUUAAGUGACUAAUCAGAAAAAUUAGGUCUUCUAACCUUUUGUCAUUGUUACUGUCUUGCCCUGAAAGGGAAAAGAAAGCUGGAUAAAGUAUUUAUAGAAGAUAGAGGACCUGUGGUGGCUCAUGCCUGUAAUCCAAGGUGGAAGGAUUGCUUGAGGCCAGAAGUUCAAGACCAGUCCAAGCAACAUAGCAAGGCCCCAUCUCUACAAAAAAAUGAAAAUAAAAUUAGCCGAGCGUGAUGGCUCAUGCCUGUAGUUCUAGCUUCCAGAGAGGCUGAGGCAGGAGGAUUGCUUGAGUCCAGGAGUUCAAGAUUACAAUGAGCUAUGGUCACACCACUGCACUCCAGCCUGGGUGAUGGAGUGAGACUGUCUCAAUAAAAAGACAAAAAGGUAAGCCCUUAGGUAAAGUAAGCUUGCUUCUUUGUUAGAGCUAUCCAUGCCGAGUCCAGGCAAAGAAAAUGCUUUCUUUGGCCUGGUGCGGUGGCUCAUGCCUGUAAUCCCAACACUUUUGGAGGCCAAGGUGGGCAGAUCACAAGGUCAAGAGUUCAAGACGAGCCUGACCAACAUGGUGAAGCCCCAUCUCUACUAAAAAUACAAAAAUUAGCCGGGUGUGGUGGUGCGCACCUGUAAUCCCAGCUAUUCAGGAGGCUGAGGCAAGAGAAUCACUUGAACCCAGGAGGCAGAGGUUGCAGUGAGCUGAGAUUGCACCACUGCACUCCCACUCUGGCCUGGGCAAUAGAGCAAGACUCCAUCUCAAAAAAAAAGAAAAAAGAAAUAAAAUGCUUUCUUUGCACAGUUCAGUAAUGAGCUCUGCCCCGAACUCAGUAAUUUUAGCAAAGAAACAGUAGCUAAGUUAAGAAGACCGCCUAUUGAACUAAGUUGGUCUCCAAAAUAUACCUUUCUGGCAUUUAGAUGGCUACUUUGAAACCCUUUUGUAAAUGAAAUUUACAUCUAUAAAGGAAAUCUCCAUCUGUAAGGGCAUCUACACUGAGAAGAGGGUGGACUGGGUCACUAGAAACUCUUACCGCUGAUCUAACAUAAAUCUUACCAUUGUUUAAGGUGCUUUUCCUUGCCAUCUUGUCUUAACUGGGCCUUUACCGACACUUUUCUUCCUUGGUUUAGGGAACCAAUGGUACAGUAUUUAGGCCCGAAGUCUCAGCUCUGUGCUUUUGAGAUAUGAAUUUUUCACCAUGUUCCACCUAAGAGCAUCCCUUUAGAAGUACAAAUUUAGGA